rnacentral:pre_miRNA from 1 species
UAGCUACAAAAUAACUUAUUCUGCAGCCACUUUGAGUUACGAUAAUUACUAUGUUAAUUUACGAGAUUAUAGUAACUCUAUACUAAGUUGUUUACUAUAACGUUAUGAUAAAUAUCUUUAUGUGUUAUAGUAACUCAACUAUUGUAAAUAUGUAUUGAUAUUAUUGUAAAUUAGUAUAUAAAAUUAUCGUAAAUGGAGGUGGCUACAGAAUAUCUUAUUUUGUAGUUG